UCUCCAGCUGAACCAGACUCCCAGGCCCCACUCAUUCCUCUCUAGCGGUUACCAUCACCUCUCAAGAUUUGAGGAACUGGCGGCCCAUGUGGAUUUACAGCUGGUUCAGAGGCGAAGAGAGAAGAAUAUCAAGUCUGAGAAAUAAUACACUACAAGGAGAGUACUGGCACCAGAUUCUUGAAAACCCCUGUUAUCUGGACAACGACCUGUGCCUGUUUGCUUCGCCUGUAUCUGCCUCUCUGCCAAGCCCUCCUGUACUUCUGCCUGUCAGAUUGUCUCUGGAUUCCUGACUGUGAACAGGACUCUGGACUUUGCCUCUGCCUACCUCUGUAUGUCUGUGUAUGA